CAUGCCUAAUACAUGCAAGUCGAACGCUGAAGCACUCUGCUUGCAGAGUGCGGAUGAGUGGCGAACGGGUGAGUAACACGUGGGAAAUCUGCCUAGGAGUGGGGGAUAACAUUCGGAAACGGAUGCUAAUACCGCAUAUCUUUUUGAACCGCAUGGUUCUUAAACGAAAGACGGCUUCGGCUGUCGCUCUUAGAUGAUCCCGCGGCGUAUUAGUUAGUUGGUGGGGUAAAGGCCUACCAAGACCAUGAUACGUAGCCGACCUGAGAGGGUGAUCGGCCACACUGGGACUGAGACACGGCCCAGACUCCUACGGGAGGCAGCAGUAGGGAAUCUUCCACAAUGGGUGAAAACCUGAUGGAGCAAUGCCGCGUGAAUGAAGAAGGUCUUCGGAUCGUAAAGUUCUGUUAUUAGAGAAGAACAAGUCAAGGAGUAACUGUCUUGACUUGACGGUACCUAACCAGAAAGUCACGGCUAACUACGUG
rnacentral:rRNA from 1 species